ACAAAACCAACAACGAAACCAACAAGUUUGAAUUUGUUUAUUCUUUCCUUGCAUCUAAGAGAUUUCCUUCCUUCCUUCCUUCCUUCCUUCCUUCCAAAGAGCGACGGGGAUGGGAAAUUCUACUUAAAUCUCGUAGGGAGCUUCCCUUCCGUGGGUUAGCCUCCUCUUUCCUUUAAAACUGACGUGAGAAGGGCGUGCAAAUAACUCAAGAUUCUUGAGCAAGAAGAAC
rnacentral:lncRNA from 1 species